rnacentral:rRNA from 1 species
AGCCUGACCAUCACCGAAGGCGGCGAGUGUGAUCAUGGCUCAGAUUGAACGCUGGCCGCAGGCCUAUCACAUGCAAGUCGAGCGGCAGCGGGAAAGUAGCUUGCUACUUUUGCCGGCGCCCUGCCGACGGUUAAGCUAUACCUCUGUUGCUGCCCAGUCGAGGGGGAUAACAGUUGGAAACGACUGCUAAUACCGCAUACGCCGUGGCAUUGAGAUCCACGAACCCUAGCGCCUUGCGCGUACUUGAUGGACCCAGGUGGGAUUAGCUAGUUGGUGAGGUAACGGCUCACCUAGGCGAGGUCCCCUAGCUCGUCUGAGCAGGACUUCUCGCCGUACCUGGAACUGUAACACGGUCCAGACUCCUACGGGAGGCAGCAGUGGGGAAUAUUGCACAAUGGGGGAAACCCUGAUGCAGUUAUUCAGUGGCAGUCACCUAGGACUUCCCGGCCGUAAAGCACUUUCAGCGAGGAGGAAAGGUUGGCUCCUAAUAGGUCUUAACUGUGACGUUACUCGCAGAAGAAGCACCGGCUAACUCCGUGCCAGCAGCCGCAGUGAUCCGGAACGGCGCCAAGCGAUCUUUGSMACCGUCACUGGCACGUAAAGCGCACGCAGGCGGUUGGAUAAGUUAGAUGUGAAAGCCCCGGGCUCAACCUGGGGUGCGACGGUGACCUCCAUCAAUUCAGCUAGAGUUUUAACCAGGGGGGUAGAAUUCCAGGUGUAGCGGUGAAAUGCGUAGAGAUCUGGAGGAAUACCGGUGGCGGGCACGACCUCCAGGUCAACGACCGAUGACGAGGUGGGAAACCGGGGGGAGCAAACAGGAUUAGAUACCCUGGUAGUCCACGCCGUAAACGAUGUCGAUCCGGAGGCCGCGUUCGUGACCGGUAUCUUCCAGAGCUCACGCAUUUCAUCGACCGCCUGGGGAGUACGGCCGCAAGGUUAAAACUCAAAUGAAUUGACGGGGACGCGCAUACCAGGUUGAGCCCGGGGAUUAAUCACAUCCAACGCGAAGAACCUUACCUGGCCUUGACAUGUCUGGAAUCCUGAAGAGAUACGCUAGCGCCCUCGGGAUUCAGACCGCGGGUGCUGCACGGAGGUAGUCAGCGCUUCUCGUGAGAUGUUGGGUUAAGUCCCGCAACGAGCGCAACCCCUGUCCUUUGUUGCCAGCACGUAAUGGUGGGAACUCAACGGGGCCUGGCGGCAUCAGACUUGAGCACAGUGUGCAAUACUUCCAGCUACUACGGCCCUUACGGCCAGGGCUACACACGUGCUACAAUGGCGCGUACAGAGGGCCUCAGACCAGCGAUAGUGAGCGUCGCCCAGGUGAGCCGUCACCCUCCCUAUUGGAGUCUGCAACUCGGCUCCAUGAAGUCGGAAUCGCUAGUAAUCGCCAAUCAGAAUGUUGCGGUGAAUACGUUCUCGGCUACCGUUCCCACUGGCCAUCACCCUCCGGCGGGCGGUUUCACCAGACGUUGCUCGCCCGACCUUCGGGAGGGCGUUUACCACGGUGUGAUUCAGUACUGGGGUGAAGU